GGGGCCCUCUGGGCUCCCGGCUGCCCUUUCCCCUGCGGCCUCUGCCGAGGAUGGCUCGCCCCGCGGAGCUGCGGACACGUGUGGGAUGACUUGAAGGUAGUGCAUGCUAAAUCCUGCAGAGAGGAAAUAAUGACCAGGGUACAGUCUGCACGUGAAGUUCACAGAUGCCAUCUCCUGUGUGAGAACCCUGGCCCUGUUGGCACCUCAGCUGCCUGACAAUACUUGGUGAGACCCAGAGGAAACUGGAAUUAGAUGGUCAAGAUGACUGAUCUAGAAAUAUCAAAGCUGUCAACUGCCAUAGGUAGCAAUUAAUAAACACAAGUGCCUGUCCUGGUUGCACCAGACAAGUCUCAAGUCCCAGGCCUAUAACGCAUGAACAGGAAAAAAAAUUUUUAAGUUUUACAAUGGUGUGAAAGCAAUGUGCAAAUCUAUUUGAGAGAAACGACAGGCUCACAUUGAUUGCUUCACUCCCCAAGCCAAAUCCAGGGAUGUAACCUCAUCGUGAGUCAAGGAGCAUCUGUAGUUAAGUUUUGUAUGAUGAAAAUAGUUAACGGAUUUAUUUGUGGCUGUGUUGUGGAGUAGUAGGCGAAUCCUCCAUCUGUGGUACAUGGGCACUGGUUCGUAUCCCAACUGCUGCUCUACCGAUCCAGCUCUGCUUGCGGCCUGGGAAAGCAGUAGGAGAUGGCCCAAGUCCUUGGGCCCCUGCACACACGUGGGAGACCCAGAAGAAGAUCCUGGCUUCAGAUUAGCUCAGCUCAAACUGUACUGGCCAUUUGGUGGGGGUGACUUUCUGUCUCUCCUCUCUGUAACUUGCCUCUCAAAUAAAUAAAUCUUUAAAA